rnacentral:rRNA from 1 species
AUUGAACGCUGGCGGCAGGCCUAACACAUGCAAGUCGAGCGGUAGAGAGAAGCUUGCUUCUCUUGAGAGCGGCGGACGGGUGAGUAAUGCCUAGGAAUCUGCCUGGUAGUGGGGGAUAACGUUCGGAAACGGACGCUAAUACCGCAUACGUCCUACGGGAGAAAGCAGGGGACCUUCGGGCCUUGCGCUAUCAGAUGAGCCUAGGUCGGAUUAGCUAGUUGGUGGGGUAAUGGCUCACCAAGGCGACGAUCCGUAACUGGUCUGAGAGGAUGAUCAGUCACACUGGAACUGAGACACGGUCCAGACUCCUACGGGAGGCAGCAGUGGGGAAUAUUGGACAAUGGGCGAAAGCCUGAUCCAGCCAUGCCGCGUGUGUGAAGAAGGUCUUCGGAUUGUAAAGCACUUUAAGUUGGGAGGAAGGGCAGUAAAUUAAUACUUUGCUGUUUUGACGUUACCGACAGAAUAAGCACCGGCCAACUCUGUG